GCCUGGCGAGUUGGGGGCGCCAGCAAAGCCGGAUAAGGGCGGUCCCUUUUCCAGGUUCUUCUAAGCCGUAGGCUUCUCGGCGCGCUCCGCAGGUGCCGAGUCCCACCUGGCUUCCCGCCUGCGCCCCUUGCGCGCUCCUGCCUUCUCCCCGCGGAGCUGCGGGCCGGGCCCAGCGGCUUCACCUCUCGACGCUUCCCGGCUCCAACUCCGGGCCCCGCCCCCUCUCCAGCCCCCGGCGGCACCUUUGCUCCGGCGUCCCCCAGGCGCCGCCCCCUCCUCCCAGGGAGGUCCGAGAGCCUCCGCCGCCCGAAGAAGUUCGCGAAUGCCACCUCCUGGCCUGGGAGGAAACGUCCGGCGCCAACGCUCAGCGCUGGGAAACCGGGCGCGCGGGUUGGCAGAGACCGUUCCACGUUUGUUUUAUUCAUUCAGCAUGUAUUUGCGGGGCUCCUCCUGCGCCCGGGCUGUUCCGGAGGAGCAACGUGAACGCAGCGGGCCCGGACCCCGACCCCGGAAGCGGGCAGGUCACGAGCAGCAAACGCGCCGCACCCCCGCGGCGUCUGCGGGGGUGGAGCGGACGAUGGGGGGCCGGGCGGGGGUCCCGGGCCGGGAAGGAGAGGCGGCCUAGGCCCAGGUGUCCCGGUCCCGUGUCCGUUGGGGGCUGGGGGGCGGCGGGAGGGGGCCGGCGGGCCACAGGACUCCACACCGAGGGAGCCGGGAUUCGCCUUCAGACGCCCAGGCCACGGGAGUUCACAAAGCCCUGAUUUACACGGAAAUGACUUGUCCCGCGCAGCCCUCGGCGAACUGCUAAGCUGCUGCCCUGACUGCGCCCCCGGGGCUUGGGUCUCCUGGUAGUCGCCGGCAAAGGCCCUGCUCGUCCCUUUCCCUGAAGUGAGCGAGUUUCCAGCCUCUCCAAGCUUGACAAGCAAUCGCACCAGGCGUUCCAGACACAGACCGGGCCUCCCUGCGGCCUUGUGACCAGACUAAAAAAAAACAAGAUGACCCAAGGGAACCCUCCGUGGUGGCCACCCUUGGAAGCGGAGAGGUGGAGUUACCAGGGCCCCCUGGAGCCCAAGCGGAGGCUGGAGAAAACCCCAUCCCCACCCCCCAGCACAGUGGGAGGGGCCCUGCCUCCCCCGCAUCUCCGGUGCUCUCUGGGGCAGCCUGGCCGGAGCAGCAGCAAAGAGCUGGGAGGCAGGCGCAGAUCCCAGCCAGGCAGCCCUGGGGCCCCACUGGGCCCACCAGGGACCCAGUCAGGUCUGAAAGGCCAUGAGCUCGGAGGGCUGGAGUGGAAACUUGCCCAGGGGUGGGUAGUGACACCCCUAGGUGGGCAGAGGAGACUUCCAUCCUCAUUUUGGCACAGCCUGGCCCCUUCUCACACACACCUCCAGUGCUGCCGGCCUGGUGUGCUUUAUUUCAGAGGCCUUGAGGCCCCACCGCCACCUGCGGCCACCUAAUUCCAUCCCAUGCCUGCCAGGCCCUCCCGUCGUGGCCCGCAGACUCACCCACCUUGGCCACUCUUCCCCCCACUUUACAUGACUCACCUCCUCCACUGGGUCUCAGCUUGAGGAACGCCUUCUUGGCCACCUGGUCUGGUGCAGCCCCCACACUCCCGCCCAGCACAGCUGCCCGUCUCGGCACCAGCCCCCGGCUGAAGGCAUCGGUGGGUGCUUCUGAUGUCGCCUCCUUCUCAGCACCUGGCUGGAUGCGGGGACCGCCAAGACUGAGUUAAUGCCGACGGGGGAAGGAAGACAGCUGCAGGCCUCAGAGGGAUUUUUAGAGCUUGGGCAUGGGUGGGAGAGGGAGGACUGCGCACCCCACUUCUCGCUGGGAGGAGCAGGCACUGUGGAGGUAGUUCCAGACCUCCCCAAGCCACAGGGCCCCUCCCAGCGGAGCCUGAGGUCUUGCUGUUUAGACCAAGCUCAGACAGCCCCAGCUAUGAGCUGGAGGGUGUCCAUGCAGAGCCCAGGUGGCUUCCGGGGUCCCAGCUCCGGGUGGGGGGGUCCAGGUGCCCCGUCCUCCGGGCUAUGGUGGCCUCUUGCCCACUCGCCAACACUAACUGGUCAAUGUAAAGUAGAGGAGCAGGCUCUGGGGAGAGGACACUGCUUCUCCCAUCCUGAGAGGCCAGGACAGGGUGCAUGCUUGCUGGAGGCUGGGACAGGGCCACAGCGGGUGCCCGAGCACCCAACACUCUCCCUGAAAGCUGUGGGCCAGGCUGUGGAAUCCGGAACACCAGUGGGUCGGGGAGCUAAGAAAGAGGGCAGGGGAAGGGGAGUGGGCAGGGGUGCCAAGGCUGCCCACCCUCCCUGGCAGGGAGCAGCUUCACUGGCCAGCAGGGCUGGUGGACCUGGAGGGCAGGGGAGGGAGAGCUUGCUGCAACUCCAAGCACCCCUUUGGGGUGGGCCCCACCCGCCCCGGGCUUUGCCGAAGCUCUGGCUUCACUGGGCCCCUCCCACCUUGCAGUGCCCCUCCCUGAAUCCUGAGCCUCUGGUUUUCCUCCAGCUCCUGUUCUUUCUAAGUCACUUAUUUUAGUAAAUGCAGCAGCCUGCAGCACCCAUCGAAAGCACAGAAAGUAGGCCCCGUUCUUCCCCUGGAACGGAGUUCUUCUGUUGUCCCGGGCAUCCCUUUCUUCUUGUGAUGGAGACACUGCGGGCCACCUGCCCUCCCACACACGGCUCUUCACCUGGACCCUGCAGCAUCUCCCACCCACAGAGUCUCCAUCCCAGGCUGUCUGGGGUGGGGGGGGGUGGUGGGCAGGGAGCAGUGCCCAAGGUGGGGCAGGGGCUGGACACUGGGCCUUCUGGUCUCCCCGAUGACUUAGCCUUGGGUUCUGGUGGGCAUAGUAGAAACUGCUCUGGCCAGGCCAAAGAGGUUUCAAGUAUUCCUGCUCCCCAGGGAAGGGGCAUUCAGAGAUUCCCCACCGUGCCCCUGGGUGGGAGAGACCAGAAGCAGCCGAUGGUGCUAGGAGGUGACCCUGCCCUGCCAGGAACCAGACGGAGGGCUCUGAGGGACCCACAGUGCCACCAAGAGACAAGGUCCUGUCCUCCCAGGAGGGCACCUGGGCACCCGGGGGUGCAGGUGGGCCAGGCUCUGAGCAGUGGAGCUUGGGGUAGGAGGGGCAGUGGGUCUGGAGGUCCCAGGGACAGCAGGCAUGCCCUCACCACAGGGUCCUUCAACACCCAGAUGCCAUCUGGGCCCUGUGCUCAUUGGGAGGACACUCUUUUAAAAUCCCUCGGCAGAGGUCUUUUUCUGCUGAAGCACUGCCGGCUCUGACCAGCGGCCAAGGCAGCACUGGAGGCUGCAGUGGCCCUGUGAGGGGUCUCAGCUCUGGUGCGGAGGGAUUCCAGGGACGCUUGUCUUCAGCCUCAGCCCUGCUGUGGACAUCUCCACCCGCACGCUGGACCCCAGGAACCGUGUGGGUGUGCAGCGUCUACACUGGGCAGGCUGCGUCUCUCCUCCCUGGUGUUCACGGUUUGGGGAUGUGUCCCUGGGACCCCUGGCUGCUGGGAGGUGCCCUGUGCCAUUGCCCCACCUUCUGCUAAUGGAAUCCAUCAUCCUCACUCACUUCUCAGGUGAGGCUCUGAAAGGAAGUGGCACGUCCCAAGCUCCUUGGUCUCGAGCUGAGCUGCCCCAUCUGUCGGCACUGCUCAAGUUUCUGGCCGUGUAACUUUGGCUUGACACCCACCUGCUUGCCUCGGCCUCUGGGCUGCAGGCUGGUUUCGUCCCUGUUCGUCUCUCAUUUUCUGCCUCCUUCCAGGCUGGUCCUCAGGACCCCCCGGGUCAGCAGUCCUGCUGGUGGACAGACACCUCCAGGGCCCUCUUGCCUCCCUGCCGGGUGCUGAGGACCUCACAUCUGUGCCACUUCUCAGGGUGCACUGCCUGGGACCUCCCCGUCUCCACGUAGGCAUCUCAUAGCCCCUGAGGGACCAGUGCUGCCUCCCCUCCUGGGUCCUUCAUGGCUCCUGGGACAAGGACACCAGAUGCCCAUGCCUGGAGGAGUUCGGUGGAGCCCACAGAGGUGAGUGGCUCUCCAAGGGGGCCUCUGGCACUUGAGGGCGGCUCUGUGGAGCAGCUGGGUGCAGCUCUUCUUCCUCUGGAGGCACCUGGCCCUCAGCUGGAGACCUUUGGCCACCUGGGUCCCCCAGUCCCCCAAAAAGCUGAGCCAGAAAGGGGUCUUUGCCCCUGCAGCACCCAGCACACAAUACCCCCCAGCUUCUGGCUGGGGUGGCCCCCGGGCAAUACCAUCCCUUGAGGACAUCAGAGCCCAUGCCAGAAGCCACCAUCCCACCUGUGUGCCCUGUGAACACAGGAGCCCGGCGGUGGGGGGGGCGGGCGGUGGUGACUGAGUGGCCUUCAGUCACUGAAGAAGACUGCCCGGGAGCAGGUGGGCCACUGUGGCUGCAGAUGUGGAGGGGCCACGCCUUAGGUGGGUCGGCCACGAACUGCCUCAGAGGCACUCUUCUCUGGGGUCCCAAGAAUCUUGUCUCCUUCAGGAAAGGACAAGGAGACAUGGCUGUAAAUCACUCCCGGAGCUAAUUCCCCAGGGCUCCGGGGCACCAGAUGUGCAGCCGGCAUAAUGAGCUCUCUCCCGGGGCCUCUCGGUGUCUGGCCACGUGGCGCACGCACUAAUUGAGUGCUGAGCUCUCGGAGAUUUGUGUCAGGAGCCUGCUCCGGCGCCUUGGCUGUGAUCCGAGGAUGAGCUUGGACCAGUGUCAGCCAAGUGAGGGCUUCCGGAGGGGCUGCUUCCUGGUGCCCCUCCAGGCUGGGCCACGGCACUCCGUAGGGGCUUCCUGGUGGGUGAGGGUCCCCAGGCGAGUGAGGGGUCCUGUGGUGCCACGGCCAGUGCCUUCUGACAGUGGGCAUCUCCACAGGCUCUCAGGGCCCCUUCCUGGCCAGGUCUUCACAGAAGCCCAGGCCCUGAGUGUCUAGUGGCCUCCGCGGCCACGUCUGUGUGACUGGGGCCAAGUGUGGGGUGGCUCCAGCUCAGGACUGUCUGAGCCCCACCCUUCCAGGUGCUCUGAGCUCUCAGGGUGUCACUGUCCAUUUAUCCUCGACUGGGUCUCGACUGGCCCAGUGGCAGGCAGAGCUCAGGCUGGAGCAGGGCUCGCAGGGGCCCCGGCAGCAACCGUGGCCACACGGGGUCACAGGUGUCACAGGAGGCUGAGAGCCUGUGCUGGUCACCAUGCGGCGCCGGUGAGGCUGCCCUCUGCCUGGGUGCUGUGGGAGAGCAGGGGCUGCCGCCAGGACCCAGUGCAGGUCGUUCAGAAGACCCCAAAGUGGGGAAUCCCCGGUGUCCAGGCCAGCGAGGCCUCAUCUCCAGAGCCUUCACAAUGGCAUCACGCAUGAGAGGGUUUACAGGACGGGGCGCCCUGCAUGGGGAGUGGCCUGUGACUUCUGGGGGACGCAGCUGCUAUGUGAAGCCCCCUGGCUGAGCGGCCCCUCCCCAGACAUUCUGUCUGCAUCAGCUUAACAGAAAUACCAUCUGUGGUUGGAGGGGUGCUCCCCAGCCUCUGCUCCCAGCGGAGGGGCCCUGCCCUUGGGAACCAGGGCUUGUCUGGCCUGGCAGUCGAAAGCAAGUCUGGGGCCUGGGGCUUCAGGUGAGUCGGCAUCUGUGGGACAGGGCUGGGUCUUGUUCUGUAGACCAAACUCAGCCCCACCACAUGGCCUGAGCUGAGCUGGAGAGUGUCCACUGUAAGGCUGGGGCAGGGAGCCACUGCCCGAGGUCCUGGUCUGGGCAUGAGUCCCUGAGGCCGGCUGCCUGCAGCUCUCCCACCGCAGCUGGGUCUGGCACCCCCUGCCUGGGGUGUUCUUUUUUCUGUGAACAUGUCUUAUUUUUAUUAAUAAACGAUUUAGGGUCCCACACCCCGAGGCUGCCCACACAGCCACCCUAGAGGGGGCACAGGCUUCCCGUGAGGAUUCGUUCUGGAAACACUUCGGGCCUUGGAGUCAAAGGAGCCCAACAGGAAGACCUGGAGGGGCUGCAGGGGAGGAAUUUCACCUCCUGCCCAGGCAAGGCAACUUGCUCUGCUUCUCCCAGGAGCAUUGAGCGCACUGAACCCCGCCUCCCAGGCACAAAGGGCUCCUGAGCCCGGGUUUCAAGUUCCCUGGGAGAUGGGGUCGCACGCUCCAGGAGAGGGCACAGGAGGAGCUGGAUGUGGUGCCGGGCACCUGUAACAGCAGCCACUCGGGAGGCUGAGGAAGGAGAAUCACUUGAAUCCUAGAGUCAGAGGUUGCCGUGAGCAGAGAUUAAGCCACUGCAGUCCAGGCUGGGCGACAGAGCGAGACUCCAUCUCGAGAAAUAAUAAUAAACAAACAGAGGUGUCACUUCAUCGUUAGCUGUGUAAACAUGCACUGGAGAGCCCGGAGGAGCCUCUGAGCACAAACCCGUGGGCGCCUCUGCAGGGAGGAGCCGGCGGGCACAGGCCGCAUUUCUCCAUUGUAUCCGAGCUGUGCUUCAGCUUCUUUUUUCUGUGAACAUGUCUUAUUUUUACUAAUAAACGAUUUAGGAAGUGUGGCUCACCUCAUCCGACCGAGCGGGUGGUGCCUGAGUUCCUGGAAGCCCUGGGACCAACCUUGGGCACGGACACUUCCCUUGGUGCUGGCGCCGAGUCCAGGGGGAGCUUGCCCUGGUUCCCAGCACUCUCCAGGGACACAGGGUUUGACCAGGUUUGAAGUCACAGCCAAAGACACUGCCUGUGAUGGUGAGGCCGCAGGGGCCACGUCUCACCAGGACAUCAGGUCACCCCAGCAGGCUGGUCCCCAAAUACAAACACCUGGAACCCUUUCCAUAAACCCAGGGCCACUGUGAGCAGCCAUUUCACUGCUGAGAUUUGCUGUGAGGACGACUGGAGAUACGAGGCAACUUCUGAGCCACCCUAGAGGCGGCCACGGCAUCUCCAGGUGGAUGAACGGCAGCAUGGAGGUGGCGCUUUUUCUCCCGUGAGCGUCUGCCGUGCUGUGUUGGGUGGGCUGGCCCUUCUCAAGGCUGCCCCUCGCACUCCGCACGUAAACCUUUCUGUUCUUUUCCACCCGCUGGAGCCUCUGAGCCACGGCGACAGCGGAUUCCUGGGGUCCCGUAGGGAGCUCGCCUAGGACCUGCUCUGGGAGCCAUCCAGUGUGCAGCCCGGGUGUGCCAGCCCAGUCCUGGGCCUUCAGCCUCCCAACGUGCCAGCCCCCCUUCUCACUGGGAUGGCUGAGGGUCCACGCCGGGCAGGCAGCACAGGCACUGGUGGCUCCAUGUCAGGAUUUCUGUGGUGGCAGCGGAUGGGCAUCAAGAACUGCCUGUUAGGCUUGUGCCCACACCAAGGUGGGAGCUGCCACCCUCGGGGAGGUGUGGGAACACGCGUGGAGGUCGGAGCCUGCUGCCACCUCGGUGUCUGGGUGCCAGGGCAGCCAUUCCUUCAAACAUGGGACCUUUCCAAACCAGCACCUCCUCAGGAAUUAGGAUCGAUGGGAGAUUGUCAUUGCCACAAGAGGCAGGGACAUGAGGAGAAAAAUCCUAUUCUGCUGAAUUCGAGGGAAGCCGCAGAACUGCACAGACUCGCCGAUGCGGAAUCGCCAGCCGCUGCUGCUGUCGCCCUGGCCUGAUUCCUUUUGCUGUUGUUUUUUGAGAUGGAGUCUUGCCCUGUCACUCACGCUAUAGUGCAGUGGCCUGAUCUCGGCUCACUGCAACCUCCACUUCCUGGGUUCAAGUGAUUCUCCUGCCUCAGCCUCCUGAGUAGCUGCAAUUAUGGGCGUGUGCCACCACACCCAGCUAGUUUUUGUAUUUCUAGUAGAGACGGGGCUUCACCGUGUUGGUUAGGCUGGUCUCUAACUCCUGACCUUGGGAUCCGCCCACCUCAGCCUCCCAAAGUGCCAGGAUCACGGGCAUGAGCCGCCGCGCCCGGCCAGUGGUGUGUUUUAUGAAUAGGAAAUCUUCCUUUGACCAAGCACGUUGAUAGAACUUGUCUACCUUUGGGGAGAGUGGAACAGAUUAUAAAUAAGCUCGAUUAAAUUUUUUUUGGUGUGAGAAUUUUUUUCCAUUUUGAUUUUAGAAAUGAUAUGAACUAUUUCUUAUAUUCAGGUAAGGUAAGAAAAAUACAAAAAAUGAAAAAAUACUGUGAGUAUGUUCUUGGCUCCGGAUUUUUUCUUGCUAAAACUGUAGUGCAGAGAAAAGUGUGGCUGUGGCUGGAACUGGUGGCCUUGGUCAGGUCACAAGACAAAAGAGUAAAACAUGAUUUUUAAACAAACUAAGACUGUCAUUGCAAGAAACAAAACUUAUGUAGUACUUUUAGUCAAGAUGACUCUUUGGACACAUUACCUUGGUGGAAUUAUUCCAGUUUAAUGUGGUUCCAUGGCUCCUCUUCCUGCAACCACGUGGAUACAGCUCAGGCGCCACUCGGGUCUGCGUGGUCUUGGGUUGUUUUCUCUUCUGUGGCCCUUCUCGCCUCCCCCAGUGUCCCCCAUUGCUGUUAUGUGACAGAACAAUCCUGUUAGGAGCCAUGAUUUAUGGUGUGACCCAGAGGUGGUCGAGGUGGCUGGCUGGAUGAGGUGGGGGUUGUGCGUCUUCCCCUGGGAAAUCCGGCUGCAGUCGUAGCUGGGCCUCACGCGUGCUGCCCUGAUGCAUGGGAUUCCAGGAUGGGCACAUCCAGGGCGAAGCCUGGGGUCACAGUGGCUCACAAGCCGAAUGGAGAUGGGUGGACUGAGGCAGUGUGUGGCUGUGGAGUUCAUUGUAGAACUGGACUUGGAAGGACCAGGGAUAUUUUGGGUGCUGGGCCCUGGUUGCCCCAGGUUUUGCUCAGUGAGUUAGGAGAAGGGGCUGGGAAGAAGGAAUGUCCUCCGCAGCGGGAGGAGGGGUAGCUUCUGGCUGCUCAGGGGAGCUGUGGAUCCAUUUCUGCCAUAGCCCUCGAGCAUGCUGCAUGGUGAGCCAUGGGACAGGGGUCCUGUGGGGUGUGGGGAGUACUGGGCUGCAGGGCCUCCUCGGGAGAGGCAACCCCAACACAGAUGCCAGGGGCAGGCGGCUCCACAGCUUCCUUGCCACCCCUCAGGCCACACAGCCACCUUCCACGCCCUGUCCCACAGCGCAGGUGGGCAGGGCUUUACCACCCAGAGCCAGUAAAUCCCUCCUCGGCUAAAGCCUGCGCCAGGAUUUCAGCCCAAGUGAUGUGAUGGUGCUCUCGGGAGAGGAGAGAAGGGAAGGUGAUGCCCCAGUGUACGCCUCACCCGAGCCCGGGACGCCUCACCCAGGAAAGCUCACCCGAGCCCGGGAUGCCUCACUCAGGAAACCUCACCCGAGCCCGGGAUGCCUCACCCAGGAAACCUCACCCGAGCCCGGGACGCCUCACCCAGGAAAGCUCACCCGAGCCCGGGACGCCUCACCCAGGAAAGCUCACCCGAGCCCGGGAAACCUCAUCCAAGCCUGGGAAACCUCACCUGAGCCCGGGAC